rnacentral:misc_RNA from 1 species
UAGUCGCUAGUGUUCCGAGUUUUUAAUUCUUCGGUUUUCGGUGUUUUCACAAAUCACUAAUUACUUCAAUUUUAAUAUUUUUAAAUUUAAACACAAUAUUUAAAAUUUAAAAACCAUAACUAUGUAAAAUGUAAAUACAAAAUCAUUAUCAAGUCCUGUAGGCUGUAAUUUAUCAAUUGUUUUUACCUCUUAAUACUUUAUUUUAAAAAAUGAGUUGCCUCCUUAGUAAAUUGUGCAGUAUUAAGUCAGCUGUUCAGCUGCGGAAAUUAUCUGUGCCUGCUAAUACUCUUCUUGCGAGAAGAUCAUUCAAUCGGCCAAAUCAUAAUUUAAAGAGAUUUCAAAGUCAAUCAAAUUCUCUUUUAGGACCUUCUUUAUUUUGUAUAUCUGUUUGCACUGGUACAGUUGUGUUAGCAUCUAUUAUUCAAUAUGAGCGACUUCGUGUUAAGCAAAUCAAUACCUUUGAAUUUUAUAGAUAUGCUAUCAAAAAAAAAAAUGAGAGUUUUAUUUCAAAGUUAAAAAAUAAUUUCAACAAACUAGAAUCAUCAGAAAAAGUAUUUGGUACCAUACUUUUAUUAAAUGGCAUUGUUUUUCUCGCAUGGCAAAUACCUCGGUGGCAGCAUAUCAUGAUCAAAUAUUUUAUGACUGAUGCACUUGCUAGAAAAAUUCCAGUGUCGUCACUUCUUCUAAGUGCAUUCAGUCACAGUUCUCCAGUACAUUUCUGUUUCAAUAUGUAUGCUCUUCAUACAUUUUGUCGAGGUGUGAUCCAACCAUGGGGUGAUAUGGGACCUGAAGAAUUCACCGCAAUGUAUAUAAGUGGUUGUGUUGUUUCAUCAUUAGCUAGUAUUAUGUUUAGACGAAGCUUUAAAUUUCCAGGAAAUAGUUUAGGUGCUUCUGGUGCUAUAUUAUCAGUUGUUGGAUACUUUUCAUUAUCGCAUCCUGAUCAAAAAUUGGGUAUAAUAUUUUUACCUAAUAUUCAAUUUGAUGCAAUUCAUGCAUUAACUGGCAUAAUAUCAUUAGACAUAAUGGGAUUAAUUUUGAGGUGGCAAAUGUUUGACCAUGCAGCUCAUUUAGGAGGAACAUUAUUUGGAAUAUUUUGGUACAAAUAUAUGUCAACAUAUGUAUGGGAUAAUCGAAAAUAUAUUGUAAAAAACUGGAUAACCUUAAAAAAAAUUAUUCAACAAGUCAAAGAUAAAUGAAAUAGUAAUAAUGGAGUGGCAGACGUUUACCCUUUAUACUAUUCAAAAAUUUAUCCAUUCUGAAUAGUGAAUGAAAUGUUGGUGAUCAAGAAUGUACGGUUUUCAGAGGUUUCACUAUACAGACUCGAUAAUUUGGCAGAUAUUAGACCAGAGUUAAAACUGCUAGAUUAACGAAAACGACGGAUUAAUGGAAGUUUACAUAAAACACAUUUUUACUUAGAGGUCCAGUUGUCGCACACACACGCAGAAUCCGGUGUUAAGAGAUGCUGCUAACGUGAAUACGUGAUUGAAACGUAUGCACUGGUGAAAAAGAUGACAUAGUCAUGUCGACCAGAGUGGCUGAUGGUCGCAAGCUUCUGCGUUUACAAGAAACC